rnacentral:rRNA from 1 species
GACGAACGCUGGCGGCGUGCUUAACACAUGCAAGUCGAGCGGUAAGGCCCUUCGGGGUACACGAGCGGCGAACGGGUGAGUAACACGUGGGUGACCUGCCUCUAGCUCUGGGAUAAGCCCGGGAAGCUGGGUCUAAUACCGGAUAUGACUCCACGGCGCAUGUUGUGGGGUGGAAAGCCUUGUGUGGCUAGAGAUGGGCCCGCGGCCUAUCAGCUUGUUGGUGGGGUGAGGCCUACCAAGGCGACGACGGGUAGCCGGCUUGAGAGGGCGACCGGCCACACUGGGACUGAGACACGGCCCAGACUCCUACGGGAGGCAGCAGUGGGGGAUCUUGCGCAAUGGGCGAAAGCCUGACGCAGCGACGCCGCGUGAGGGAUGACGGCCUGGUGUAA